rnacentral:rRNA from 1 species
UACGUAGGCAGCGAGCGUUGUUCGGAGUUACUGGGCGUAAAGGGUGUGUAGGCGGUUGUUUAAGUUUGGUGUGAAAUCUCCCGGCUCAACUGGGAGGGUGCGCCGAAUACUGAAUGACUUCGAGUGCGGGAGAGGAGAGUGGAAUUCCUGGUGUAGCGGUGAAAAUGCGUAGAUAUCAGGAAGAACACCCGUGGCGAAGGCGGCUCUCUGGGACGGUACUGACGCUGAGACGCGAAAGCGUGGGGAGCGAACAGG